rnacentral:rRNA from 1 species
GAGUUUGAUCCUGGCUCAGGAUGAACGCUAGCGGCAGGCCUAACACAUGCAAGUCGAGGGGUAACAGGGAAAAGCUUGCUUUUCCGCUGACGACCGGCGCACGGGUGAGUAACGCGUAUGCAACCUACCUUUUACAGGAGUAUAGCCCAGAGAAAUUUGGAUUAAUCCUCUAUAAUAUCUUAUUCAUGCAUAUGAAAAAGAUUAAAGCUUCGGUGGUAAAAGAUGGGCAUGCGUUUUAUUAGCUAGUAGGUGAGGUAACGGCUCACCUAGGCCACGAUAAAUAGGGGCCCUGAGAGGGGGACCCCCCACACUGGUACUGAGACACGGACCAGACUCCUACGGGAGGCAGCAGUGAGGAAUAUUGGACAAUGGACGAAAGUCUGAUCCAGCCAUGCCGCGUGCAGGAUGACGGCCCUAUGGGUUGUAAACUGCUUUUAUACAGGAAGAAACACUCCCACGUGUGGGGGCUUGACGGUACUGUACGAAUAAGGAUCGGCUAACUCCGUGCCAGCAGCCGCGGUAAUACGGAGGAUCCAAGCGUUAUCCGGAAUUAUUGGGUUUAAAGGGUCCGCAGGCGGUCUAUUAAGUCAGAGGUGAAAUCUUGCAGCUCAACUGUAAAAUUGCCUUUGAUACUGGUAGACUUGAGUCAUUGUGAAGUGGUUAGAAUGUGUGGUGUAGCGGUGAAAUGCAUAGAUAUCACACAGAAUACCAAUUGCGAAGGCAGAUCACUAACAAUGUACUGACGCUCAUGGACGAAAGCGUGGGGAGCGAACAGGAUUAGAUACCCUGGGUAGUCCACGCCGUAAACGAUGGAUACUAACUGUUCGACCUUCGGGUUGAGUG